rnacentral:snRNA from 1 species
GUGCUGACUUUAGUAGCACAUAUACUAAGACUGGAGAAAUAUGGAUAAAAUUAGCAUGGGCCCUAGGGAAGAAUGACAUGCAAGAAAGUGAAGUAAAAAAAAAAAGU